GACGUAGGGAGCGAGCGUUGUCCGGAUUCAUUGGGCGUAAAGAGCGCGCAGGCGGCUUGGUAAGUCGGAUGUGAAAACCCGGAGCUCAACUCCGGGCGUGCAUCCGAUACUGCCCGGCUAGAGGUAGGUAGGGGAGAUCGGAAUUCCUGGUGUAGCGGUGGAAUGCGCAGAUAUCAGGAGGAACACCAGCGGCGAAGGCGGGUAGCUGGGCCAACACUGACGCUGAUGCGCGAAAGCUAGGGGAGCGAACGGG
rnacentral:rRNA from 1 species